UUCCCAUCCACACCGUUUUCCAUCCUCGAUCCUUCGUGGCAAUGGUGACACUCACACCUGAUCUGAUGUGACUUGUGAGCUCUGAUGCGUUGUCUGUGUGCAGUGUUGCUCGCAAACAUGCUGCUCCUCGAUGGUCACGACGUGAUUGGAAAUCUCUUAUCCCAGGAGUUUCGUGGUUUAUUUCGGAGAACAAGUCGAUACGGUACUGCUUAGCAAUGCUAGCAUGCUUGGCAGCCGCAGGCUGAAAAUUAAAUUUAUUUUUUCAUUCAUUUGUGAGGAUAGUAAUAUCCAGUGUUCUGACGACGACGGAUAUCCCUAGCGAUGGCAAUGAAGACUGAUGGGCUCGCUGUAUUCUCUCGCUGUCCGUCUGACAGUGACGACCUGUGCACUGAUGGACGCCAUGUAUCAGGUGCGAACGCUAGUAGCGAGCAGUUCAAGUAACUAAGACAACGCUGAGUAAUAAUCAGUGACCUGUAUUGUGGCUGUGAGAGAAUGAAGCGAAUACGGGGAGGGUUGUGAUGGCCGCCACGCUGACAAGAGAGUCGCGAGUGAUGCAGUGAUGGUGUUACGGACGAACAAAAAACCAAGUGACCAUGACACAGCGGCGACGCAAGUUGUUUUUGCUGUACCUCAGAACUAGACCGAUAUUACCAGGAGGAUGUCAGUGUGCUAUGGGUGGCAUCCAGACACCUAGGAGAUGCGUGGUGUGCAAGGGACAUCCGCUGUUAUAGGUCCUACCAUCAGGCACAGUGUAUUCUACUAGAGCCUCUGACUUCAAACGGUGUGCACAGCAGCACCUGCGACACCUCUAUCAGCCGGCACACCAGCCAGUCUUCUUUCUACUCUCCUGCCAGCAUAGUACAAUGUGAGUGGUUGCACUCUGUUGCUGUAUAAUAUACUGAUACACUGAAGGUGGUGUAUUCUUGUGAGCUAUGCACUGUGACUACACUUCAUGGAAUCUCAGUCACUGAGAUGUUCAAAAACACUGAUCUAACUGUUUCAGAUCAGGAAUAGUCAGUGGGCUCUCUAAUGCAUAACUGGUGCUCUAGUGUGUUCCUCUUGUUCAGUUUUAGAGUUUUCAUAGAUCUUGCUUGUACGCCCUCCUUAGUGGAUCAAUAUGCAGUACAAUAGAUUGGAUUGCUAAGCUGAAAUCUCUGCCCUGCCAUAUACCAUCAUUGAUGCUUAUCACAAUUUUUUGAGGCUGGCAUGCAUCUGAUAUACUCUCUGCUGAUCACAGAUGUCCUAGGAGCAGAUAGUCUAGUGUGGACAUUGACAUCCAUUUUAAAAGAAUUCAAAA